rnacentral:rRNA from 1 species
GAAUUUUGGACAAUGGGCGAAAGACUGAUCCAGCAAUGCCGCGUGCAGGAUGAAGGCCUUCGGGUUGUAAACUGCUUUUGUACGGAAAGAAAAGCUUUGGGUUAAUACCCUGGAGUCAUGAAGGCACCGUAAGAAUAAGCCCCGGCUAACUCCGUGCCAGAAGCCGCGGUAAUACGUAGGGGGGAAGCGUUAAUGGGAAUGACUGGGCGUAAAGCGUGCGGAGGGGGUUUUGUAAGACAGGGGAGAAAUCACCGGGCUCAACCUGGGAACUGCCUUUGUGACUUCAAGGCUAGUGUACGGCAGAGGGGGGGGGAAUUCCGCGUGUAGCAGUGAAAUGCGUAGAUAUGCGGAGGAACACCGAUCGCGAAGGCAACCCCCUGGGCCUGUACUGACGCUAAUGCACGAAAGCGUGGGGAGCAAACA